rnacentral:misc_RNA from 1 species
GAUGAAGAACGCAGCGAAAUGCGAUACGUAAUGUGAAUUGCAUAAUUCAGUGAAUCAUCGAGUCUUUGAACGCACAUUGCGCCCCCUGGUAUUCCGGGGGGCAUGCCUGUCCGAGCGUCAUUGCUGCCCUCAAGCACGGCUUGUGUGUUGGGCCUCCGUCCUCCUCCCGGGGGACGGGCCCGAAAGGCAGCGGCGGCACCGCGUCCGGUCCUCGAGCGUAUGGGGCUUCGUCACCCGCUCUUGUAGGCCCGGCCGGCGCUUGCCGACACAUCAAUCUUUUUUCCAGGUUGACCUCGGAUCAGGUAGGGAUACCCGCUGAACUUAAGCAUAUCAAUAAGCGGAGGA